rnacentral:rRNA from 1 species
CCUACGGGUGGCAGCAGUGAGGAAUAUUGGUCAAUGGACGAGAGUCUGAACCAGCCAAGUAGCGUGAAGGAUGACUGCCCUAUGGGUUGUAAACUUCUUUUAUAUGGGAAUUAAAUGUUCCACGUGUGGGAUUUUGUAUGUACCAUAUGAAUAAUGAUCGGCUAACUCCGUGCCAGCAGCCGCGGUAAUACGGAGGAUCCGAGCGUUAUCCGGAUUUAUUGGGUUUAAAGGGAGCGUAGGUGGAUUGUUAAGUCAGUUGUGAAAGUUUGCGGCUCAACCGUAAAAUUGCAGUUGAAACUGGCAGUCUUGAGUACAGUAGAGGUGGGCGGAAUUCGUGGUGUAGCGGUGAAAUGCUUAGAUAUCACGAAGAACUCCGAUGGCGAAGGCAGUUCACUGGACUGCAACUGACACUGAGGCUCGAAAGUGUGGGUAUCAAACAGGAUUAGAUACCCGAGUAGUC